CGAAAGCUGGCUGCGUAAGGGAGGAAAUGCACAGGAGGGGUAUUCCAGUGAAGAAAGCCCAAGGACAUCUACAACCCUCUCUUCCUCAUUUGUCAUGGCUUCAGUCCUCUGCUUUCUAAAGCCUUCUCCUUGGUGAGCUUCCUGGGUUGACUUCUGUCAAAGCCGGAUGAUUAUUGGAGUAUUGGAUUCCUAUAGCCCUGGACAGAGCCCAGAGCCGGCACUGCUGUUCAUGUUUGAUCUCCCAUUCAAGUUUCCGGAAGAAGUUGGCUGAAGCGAGGAUCAAAGAUUUCUCCACUUGCUGCUGCUUCUCCCCUCUGACAGCCUCACUGCUCACCGUUUAGCACAGCAGCAAAUUAACUCUUCAACUCAUCCUCGGCUCCGAAUCCCUCCCGUCCUUGCAGAAAGGGCAGUUUCGAUGGACCCAAGGUUUCCAAGAAGGGGAUUUUUAUUUCAGUUUGAAUGUGCCUGCAGACUCAGAAGGGCAGAGAUGAAUGAUUGGUCUGGCAAAGGAGAAUCCAGAAUGGUCAACUUGACAGUGUAGGCCCUCCGCUGGGCACCCACUCAGGCUCAGAAGUAAAUUUGUGACGACAUCUGUCAGAAGACUGAUCGCCAGCAACAAAACCAGCCCUUGCUGGUUAAGUAUAAAGGGAUUUAUUGGAAGGAUAAAUCCUUAAUGACUCCACAGGAAAUUUGGAGAACUGGUCUCCGAAGUAGGAUAGAAGCAAAAAAUGCAAAAUUAGGACCUCCGGGUGUUGUCUCAUGGCAGGAGCAAUCAGAUCAGGAAGCGGCGAGGUCUAUUCUCAACACACCAACCAGAGAGAUUCAUGGAGACUUCACUCCAGUCAAGCCACUUCUCUGCCCAAAUCUUCCCAUGGCCAUCUAUAUCAUUCAGAAGAAAUAAGGAAGAAAUAUUUAAAAUUUUCAGAAUAAAAAAUUAAGUCAAAAGUUUUCCUAACCACAAAGCCCUGCAGACUCUGUUACUCCACAGUUACUGUUACUCUUCUGCAUUUAUCUCGGACUAGUUCACUUUGCUUAUUCUGUUCCAGCCCCACCGAUCUAUUUGCAAGGUCCU